CCCACCUCCCCGCUGUCUGCCCCCGUUUCUUUGCUCGUUUUCCCCAGGCUGGUCUUCCUUUCAGAACUUGAGAAGCAUUUUUGCCUUCCCGCUUGCUGCUGUGCUCGCUUCGAAUGUGUGCUCUCCUCCUCCCUCUUUACUUUUCCCCAAGGCCCUGGAGUUGCUUUCUUUGGAGACAGCCUCUACCCACUCUUUCUUUCCAGCGCGGGGGCCAGCUGGCCCCCGAAAUCAAUCAGGGGCCCAUCAGAGACCGGGCUGGCCGCUGUCACUCCCGCCGUGGAAUUUAGGUAAGUUCCCCGGAGGCCCUUUAGAGCAAACGUGUCCAGAGUCGGCUCUGCCUCACGGAAUCCUCCCAUUUCCUGACGCCUCAAGGAUGUCUUUAUCUGCUAAGCCAUCGAGUUUCUACUGGAGGAGCGUGGACUCUCUUUGUGUUCCUUCCCUCUCUCCUGUGUCUUUUUUCUUUUUUAAAACGGGCUGCCUGGUCUCCCAGGAGGCUGUCAAUAGGCUUCGCCCACUCUGCCCUCUCCGCAGCUCUCUCUUGUCCAUUUUUAAAGUUUCCCUUUUCAGCACCGAUUUCAGCCAGCCUCCCACGCCCUGAGCCUUCCUGGGGCGGCGUGCCCUGUACUGCCCGGUUUAGGUGCUGGAGGAGUUUAAGAGAACUUUCAGUCCGGGAAUUCCAAACCUUUGUGUGUUUUCCUUGGGGUCCAUCCCAGCACUUCUGGGGAAGCUGGGAUGCUCCAAAGUCUCAUGCAAAGUGUCAAGGGUCUGGCCACUAAAGGGGUAGCGGACGAGGGACCCCACAGAUUCCCAUUUUGUUCCCAGGAGGCUCCCCUGGCCCAGCCCCUCGUUUCACAGAUCCGCAAAUGCAGUCCUGUGGAGCUAAUGGGUGUGAGCUGGGAGCCCCACUUGGGGCCUCUCUUAUUUGUGCUCUGCCGUAUCUGCGUGGAUCUUUCUGCCCCUUGAGGCUUCCCUCAACACUCCUCCUCCGUCCCGGGUUUUCCCUUUGGAUUCUUGCUUUCCCGCAUGGGCACACACAUCACGUACCCCCUUAUGCUUCCACAGGACUGGGGGCUCGCUGCAUAACUGGUGGGGCCCACGGCAAAAUCGAAAAAGUGGGUCCCAGCAGAGGGUGGGAACGCGAUUGCGAGUUUGGUGCGGGGCACCUGCCUGGGUCCCUGCAUGGGGGAUGCGUGGGAGGUCCAUGUUCAAGUGUGCAUUGAAUCAGCCGUGGAGCUGCAAACCCGGGAGGCCGCCAUACCUCACCCCGCAUGACACACUGUGGGGCACACGCUGACCCUAACCCUCCCUGCACCUGAACCCAGGCCAGGGCAGGUUAGCAGUGGAACAUGGCCCACCAUGGCGCCAGGCAAAGGGCGGCCGCCGAGGUGGAGGGGGUGGGGGAGGAGAGAGGAGGCCAUCCGGGGCCUGGGAAUCAGGAUUCAGACUGCAGGCUGUGGCCACCCCAGCCCAGAGAGGCAAUGGGGGGUGGACGCCACGUGAACAGAGGCUCCAGGCCUCCUGCACAUGCUCCUUGGUCCCACUGGACUUGACUUACACGACCAAAGAUGGAAGUGUUAGGAAGCUCCAGAUGGCAACAACUGAACAUCAAACGGAGUGUGGACCCUCCUGCAUGGGUCACGUGCCCAUGAAGUGUCCUGACAGCCUGGGACAGUUUUCAAAGCACGUUCACAUCCUUGCCUUUGUUCUGACCUCUAGAUAGCCCUUUGACUCAAACCGAUUGGGUGUCUUAAGCCUUAUUUUACAGGCAAAGACAAGACUCCACCAGGCAUAGCUUACAUACGUGAGUUCUGGAGUCAGACAGCUCAAAUAUGGGCUGGGCCUCAGAGGGGUGAAGGUUCUUCUUCAGGGUUGUUAUGGGAUCACAACAAAUAAUGUAUGGAACACGUUCCCUGGUGCCAGAUGCAGUCAGAAUGCUCCAUAAAUGGAGAUGUUAGUGUGCCCAGCGGAUGUAUCUGGCUUUUCCCAAAAUUCUAUUCAUGAACACUGUCACCAGUUUUCAGUUUUUACAUCUUAUCUGUACCAUUAUUGGCUUAAUAUUUUUUAAAUUUAAAUCUAUCUACUUCUUUUACACUUCCAGUGUUAUUUAAUUUAAUUUUAUUUCAAGUGGUUUUUUAAAUUUAUUUUUGAGAGAGACAGCGCAAGUGGGGCAGGAGCGGAGAGAGAGGGGGACAGAGGAUCUGAAGGGGGCUCUGUGCUGACAGCAGAUGUGGGGCUUGAAUUCACGAACCGUGAGAUCACGACCUGAGCCGAAGUCGGACGCUCAACUGACUGAGCCACCCAGACGCCCCUCCCAUUUUGUUUUAUAGGGUAACUUCAUUUUACUGUCGAGAAUGAAAGACCAGCAUCACUCAUCUUAAAUAGAAAGGUAAAGUAAAUUCGUGGAAAACAACAAUGGUAUGAAAAUCUGGCCAGAUACUUUUGCUUGCUGAACACUCUGAGCUUGUACCUAUUCUUUGUCAAAGAGGGAAAUUAGCAAGGAUUAAAGACUCAGCCUCGCCCUGAGAUUUCUCUUUGACUUCAUCUGCAGGAAAUCAUUUUGUCACUAUCCUAUUCAAUGUUACCCUGUGUCCAGCUGGUGCCUGUACCAUGACCACGAACUCUUGUGCGUUUCUUCACCUGCCGCGCUUUGGGAGAGCCUCGACACGAGGUUAGGACGCAGUGGAGCUAAGUUUCACAAAACGUGUAGCAUGACUGCAAAAAACUAGAAACCCACACAAAGCAGCUCCAAAUGGUUUUCAAGGACACAUGGACUGAAAGAAUUCACAUUGGCUCCUUAAUAGUGAUCACCUCUGAGGAAGGGAAGAGGAAAGCGUUGUUGGCAAAGGGACUUGCACCAGAAUCCCAACAUUUUAAUUGUUUUACCAAAAAAUGCUUGAAAUAGGGAAAUACUUUUACAGUUGUUAAUUCUGCAUCAUGAGGGUGUGAUUAUGUAGCGUUCUUCAGACUUUUACGUGUUUUUGAGUUUUCUUAAAUGUAAAAGACAAUAAAAGGGAAAAGGAAGAAAAGAAGCUCAAUCAGGCAAAAUGCUCCCAGAUGCGGAUGCAGGGAAGGAUCAAAAUGCUUUGGUAAAUCAGGGACUGUAUCAGUUUGCUACAGCUGCUGUAAUAAAUACCAUUGACUGCGUGGCUUAACCAAUAGAAAUUUAUUGUCUCACAGUUGUGGAGGCUGGAAGUCCAAGAUCAAGGUGCCAAAAGGUCUGGUUUCCUCUGAGGCCACGCUCCUUGGUUUGCAGGUCGCCGCUGCCUCCCUGUGUCCUCGCACGGUCUUCCCUCUGUGCAUGCCUGUGUCUUAAUUUCCUCUUAUAAGGACACCAGUCAGACUGGAUUCGAGCCCACCCAAAUGAUCUCAUUUUCCCAUAACUACUUCUCCAAAGACCCUAUCUUUAAAUGUAGUCAUAUCCUGAAGUAUUGGGGGUUAGCACUUCAACAUAUGAAUUUGGGGGGCACAGUUCAGCCCAUAACUCUUUAAUUAAUGACCCCUGCUGACCUACUUCAUUAUACAGGAGUUUCUUGUCACCUCCCUUUACUGAUUCUAUCGACCUUCCCUCUUCUUCCCAAUGUCCUGGACAUCCAGGCAGGGUUUCCUGAUUGCCCCACUGCUCGCUCCUUUUUGAUCCUUCCUGGAAUCAAUUCCUGCUCCCUCCAGCCAGCCUACAGAGUUCCAUCUGUCCUCCUUACCCCAGCUUAGCCCAUCUCUCUCUCUCUCUUUUUUUAAUGUUUAUUUAUUGUUUGAGAGAGAGCGGUGGAGAGGCAGAGAGAGAGGGAGACACAGAAUCUGAAGCAGGCUCCAGGACUCUGAGCUUUCAGCACAGAGCAUGACACGGGGCUCGAACCCACGGACCACAAGGUCAUGACCUGAGCGGAAGUUGGCUUAACCAACUGCACCAUGUGGGCGCCUCUAGCCCUGCCCAUCUCUUUGAGUUCACUCCUGUCUUUGGAUUCUCCACUCAGGAGCCCGAUGGCACAGCCUCCACCCAGGUUGAAUCUCUGCAGCUUCAUGAGCCCAAACUACCUGCUCAUUGACUGCACAUGCGACACAUUUCUCCCGCCUCCCAUCUGCACACAAAAUGCCUACGUCAUCUAUCUUGUCUCCUUUCUUGAGAUGCUUCCAAUGGGGCUGUCGGUGGCAUUCACCUGCCCUGUCUCCCUGUGGUUCUUACCGUUUUGAGCUCACAGACUGUAUCAGUCAGCAUCCAGUCAAGGGAGCAGGAACAUCUCUAGACACUUAGCCAGAUUAGGAACAUACUACAGGGAAUUGUUCACAUGAGGGACGAGAGAGGAGAAGCCAGGCGGGGCGUGGUGAAGGACAGGAACAUGGCGGCCCAUGUGAACAAGGGCGACACGCUAGUGACGGUGGAAAGAUAGCAGGACAGAAAGAACCUAGUCCCGCCAUUCCCCGGAGCUGCUCUCUAGCUCUACACCGUGUGAACCCAGCCUGUUAAGUGGAAAGAAAUAACUCCUGUUGCUUGCUUGGAGUCUCUGUUAGAGCUGCUUAGCUCAGACCCAGGAAAUGCAUCUCUUUUUACGUUGCCUGUUUGAGGGAAGUCUGCAGAGACAGGCUCUCUCCCUUCCCCGGGGAGACAGAGCUGGGGCCUUGUUCUUGCCGCCUGAAAUGCCUUUAAAGGCCUUAAGGGCGCUCGUGAUACAAAUGCUGCAGCCUGGGUGACCAGCUGUCUCUGUUUGCCCAGGAACAAGAGGCUUCAUGCAUGUAGAACUUGCACUGCUUAAAUGGGGAGAGUCCCUGGCAAACCAGGAUGGGCCUGUCACCCUCCCUUCUUGUGCCUGUAGCAAGCAUCUACUUCCUCAGACAGAAAAUCACCUGCCAGGGUCUCAACCCCGACCUCUCUUCCUGGGUCCAGGGUCAGACCACAGCCAUUCUUGGUGAGUCUGGUUGCCUCCCGGUGCCUCUUUGAACGAGACAUGGCGAGUUCUUCCGUGACCCCUGCUUCAUUCCCGACGAGAAUAAACACCAUCUCCAGCCUCGACCUGCUGAACAGAAUCACCACAGAGUUCCUCCAGCAGCCCUGACCCUCUGCACCCGAGAUAUUUUCCAAGAUAAAUGCAAUUUCUCUGGAUCUGAGGCGCGUGUCACAUUCCCUGCUUCUAGGAAUCUGCCUGCCCACAAACGCGGGUCUCUGGUCUCAUCCAAGUAGACGACAAGAGACAACGGGGUUCUCCCACCACACAGUCCUUGCUCAAUCGCUGUUUUCCUCCUCUCCGAAGGUAGCCUCUAGGCGAGGUUGUACCCAUCAGCACGCUCCUUCUGUCAUCCUGCUUUCAUCUGGGGCACAGCUUGCUGGAUUGGAGCAGUAGACUGAGCUCAGGCCUCUGUGUUUGGAAACAUGCCUCUGCCUCUGUUCUCCCUAUCAUGUCGGGCAAGUGGCCUCACCUUGCAGAGCCUCAGUUUCCCCACCUGUAUAAUGGAAUGGUAUGGUAGGCUGAAAAAUGGCCCCGGAAACAUAUCAUUAUCCUAAUUCCUGGAAUUUACGAAUGUUACCUUAUUUGGAAAAAAAGAGUCUUUGCAGAUGUGAUUAAGGACCUUCAAAUGGGGAGAUUAUCCUGGAUUAGGUGAGUGGGCCCUAAAUGCUAUGACAGAUGCCCUUAAAAGAUGGAGGUAGAGGGAAACUACACGGACAAAAGAGGAGGGAGCAGUGUGACCAAGGAGGUGAAGAUUAGUGAUGCUUCCACAAGCCCAGGAAUACUGGCUGCCACCAGAAUCUGAGAGAGACAAGGAGCAGAUUCUCCCUUUGGGCCUCCGAGGGAGCACAUCUCUGCUGUUUUGGCCUGACCUGUGCCCUCUCAGAACCCAUAUGCUGAAGUCUUAACCCCCAGUACCUCAGGAUACAGCCACAUUUAGAAAUAAGGCUUGUAAAGAGGUGGUUGAGUUAAAACGAGGCUGUUAGGAUGGGGCCCCAAUAGGACUGCUGUCCAUAUGAGGUACACAUGUGUGCCCAGAGGGAGGACCGCUGAAGACACAGUGAGAAGGCGGCCAUCUGCAAGUCAAGAAGAGAGGCCUCAGCAGAAACCAACCUGGCCGGCAUAUUGUUCUUAAACUUCCAGCUUCCGAACUGUGAGAAAGUACACUGCUGUUGGUUAAGCCACUUAGCAUGUGGUACUUUAUCAUGGCAGGCCCCGGGAAUUAAUGCGGGUGGUGAUACCUAACCCAGGCUCGUUCUAAGAUCGAGAUGAUCACAAGGGUGCCUGCUGGGCUGUGGAUGAGUACUUUCUACAUUUUAGUGGUGUCUGAAUUCUCCUUUCGUGGAGACUUUUCUACACCCAAGCAGAAGUAAAAUAACAACUACAACAAUCACAAAAAAUGAUACACCAGCCAUAGUGACUGUUUUCUUUUGGUCUUCUCUACUCCCUGACCACCCUUCCUGUGUGUGUGUGUGUGGGUGUGGGUGUGGGUGUGCACAUGCACACCUAUUUCCCACCUUAAUAUUCCAUCUUCCUUCAGUGAACUGCAUCAUCUAUUGGGGCUCCAUGAACAGCAUCAAUUUCCUGUUUAUAGAUCUGUCCCAUCACCACUUACUAGUUGUGAGGAUCGCAAACAUUUAUGGGAUGCUCAUUUUAUAUGUAGCCAGGAAUUGUGCUUUUUCUAAAUUGUGUCAUUUAAUGCUCUGAGUAUCCCUUCAAUGUGGGUACUAUUAUUAUUCCAACUCGACAGAUAGAGAGACAGACAGAGUUUGACCAAGGAAGCGGCACAGCUGGGAGGCAAGCCCAGGUAGCUGGCGCCCAGGCCCACACCCUCACCUCCUCUUAAAUCUCCCGAGGGCAGGAAUCCACCCUGCCUUAGUCAACCUUUACUCUCUACCAUGUGCUUGGCACAGAGUUUGGAUUCAACAAAGGCCGGCUGGAUGAACAAGUGAAUGACACUUUCCACAUGCCAAAGAAAGUCAAGAAGAUGUUCUCCAGAACUCUGCUCGGUCUAGCAUCUCUUUAUCUUGACUCUGCUGCUGUUACUGCUACAGCGGUCCGACCACGGACAGUCCUACACGGCCCACGUCCAUCACACGCCUGUCACACUCUCUGCCCUCAGCCUUUUUGACCAUGGAGCUGAGACAUUGUGAGUGGACGCAGCAGCCCCCGCUGCCCUCUCCAUCCACUCCAUCCACUCAGCAGUGGCCUUGUCUCCCCCCAUGGCCACUACUCAUCCGUGUGGAUGGGAGAGACUGGAAUUCUCAGAAGUCUAGUGAGAGAGGUCUAGAUUCCACAAGAAUCUGGAAACUGCACAGGGCCAUGGUAACGCCACUCAUGUUUGCUCUUCCAACUUGCAGAAGAGAAAACUGAGGUCCAGGGGUAUUAAAUCCUUGCCCAAAGCCACAGAAGACUGGGUGUCAUGUUUGACUUCCACUCAGGCCUCUUUCCAAUAUACCAAGUCAGUACAAAAGUGGCCCAGUCUAGCAGAGAGAAGAAGAUUGGGCUCAGAGCCUGGUUUCAAUUCUUACCAACCAUGUGUGGUUAGGUAUGUUAUGUAAAUUCCCUAAGCUUGGGUCCCUUGGCCCACACAGUGAAGACAAGGCUAUUUGCUUGCUGCCAUUAGAACUACUGCUGGCCACAGAAGUCACCUGGCCAGACUCCUGCAUGCAGAUCGCAGACAGAAUAUUGAACUACAUACUUCAGGAACUGACCAGUCCAGACCUUGACCUGUCUCAUUCCACCUGCCAGUCAAGGCCCUUUUGGGGAGCAGGCUGCUUUCCUAUUAAUAACGGGGAAGGGACUCAGAAAACCUUGAUUCUCUAUCACUAGCAGCUCCAUCUGUCUCCAGACCAGGAUCAGGAAAAAGGAGGGAAAAAUGGUAGCUCGCCUGAAUAAUCCCAUCCCUGAGUAACCUCAUAACAUCUCUUUGGAGUCAGGAAAAUAUUUACCUGGCAAUGACAUUCUAACUUAUUCAGUUGUCCCUCCUUCGUAAUGAAUGCCUAAUCACUAUGGAAAAUAAUCUCUUCUAAACUAUGUAUUUCAUAACAUAACCCAUACCAGAAAUGUGUUCCCACGUCUCUUUUCUUCUAAAUAUUUUAAAACACAUUUGAAUGUAAACACACGCACACACACACACACACACACACACACAACGAUGUUCUAUUUUUCUUAAAUAGAAAUCUGCAAUAAUGUUUUCAUUGAACAUAAAAGAGGCCAGCCCUGAUGUCAUCAUUGUAAACUCCUAGAGCAGGGUUUCUCAACAGCCCCGCUAUUGACAUUUUGGACCAGAUAAUUCUUUGUUGUGAGGCUGUCCCGUGCGGCAUCGGGUAUUUAGAAGCAUCCCUGACUUCUACCCAGUAGAUGCCAAUAGCACCUCUCUUCCAUCAUGACAGUGCAAAAUGCUCCAAACAUUGACAAGCAUCCCCUGGGUGGGGGGAAGGAGGGGAGAUGCAAAAUCAUCCCCUGUUAAGAACCACUGUCCUAGAGAAAGAGACGAGGCCUGUAAGACUCUCUUUGCCCUGCCCCACCUGAAUUUAAGUUCUCUAUAGAAGUGCUUUUGACAACACUGAUGAAUUAAAUGUAAGGGUAGGAGUUGAGUGAGCAGGGAAGAAAAUACAUCCUUCGAAUAUACAAAAUGCACUAGGCACUAUGAAGGAAUAGUAAUACAAUCACAAACUACGCCACGAUUGUACAUAUCAGCCCCCUAUCCUUCUGUCUCUUGGACUGAAGAUGGGCCAUCAGUUGAUGAACAUCUCAGAAAGUCUUCAUGGUCUUUAUCUGUUUCCUUUCGUUGGUCCUUAGGAGGUAGGAUGUGUUAGAACAAUUAUAUUCUGAAUUUCUUUGAACAGAAAUUAGAGAUGAAAUGGAGAAGAACCAAAAGGAAGCACAAAAAGACCAACAGUGAAGAACCCCGGGCUUAGCAACGAUGGGGAAGCAGUGACACACUGUUAGGGGAGAGAGUGUUGUUGCCAAAGCCCAGCCAGAGGCCAGACAAAGGCUUAAGUACUGGAGGAAGGGCUGUCUGACGAGAGGACUGCAAGGCAGGGAUGGGGCAGGGCAAUAAACUCCCCAUGUGUCUUUCUCUUUUCCUGCUUUCUAAUAUCUAAUCAGUACCUCCAUUGGUGAAACCCAAACAGAAGGCCAGGGCAAAGGAGCCCGGAUGAUGGCGUGCAUAGAGGUCAGCCCCCCAAAGUCUUGGAGAAGGGCAGAUGAUGCAUCUAGUGAGUGAUAGGGGCAAAUGGAGAAUCAUCAGCCACACAAGAUAUGUUCAGAGAAGAGUUUGUCAGUCUGAACUCUUUCCAAGAGAGAGUCCAAACACAAAAAUUUCUCUGAGUCUCAGUAUUCCUGACUGUGAAAUGGGCAAUGCCUGUGUCAUGAGGUGGUAAUGAGGAUUCUACGAUAUGCCAUACGGAGGGACCAAGCACAGGGCCUGGUACAUUCUGGAGGUUCCAUGUAUGUCAGUUACUUUCACCUUUCCUGUACCUAAAUGGCCCUGGACCAGAUUACUUUUCCUGGUCUGGUGCUCCAAGUGACCUCUGUGCCUCUUUCCCCUUCUCAGUUCAUUCACCCAUUCAUUUAUUCAGUAAGUAUACAUUCACUGAGCAUCAGAUAUGAUCACUGCACGUACCAGAGUGGAGAGUGCAGAUGUAUGUGGCCCUUGCCUCUGUCCCUUCUUUCCUCACAGACCCGUCCCCAUCUCUUUGAUCGGGGCCCCUGGUUCCUCAUUCCCGACUCUCAUUGCUUUUAUUUCUUCAACAUGUACCUAGUGCCUACCUCUGACAAAAUCGUGAGGACGGCGGUAGGAAGAAAGAGCCCUUGUUUUUACCUGAGGAAGCUACUUAACUUUUCCAGGGAUGCUGAGCCCAACGAGCAGAAGGCAGAAAAGUGGUUGGCUUCAUUUUGACCAUGAGUCCCUGCCAGAAUCAGUUACACAACCACGCAUGCAAGAGAAAAGGGUCCACCAAGAGAGUCAGAGGUGGAAAGACACGGAGAGGGCCCAGAGGCUUUCUGAAACGUCUGUCGUCAGAUUGCCCCAGGCUUGGAGGCAGGAGGGUGUCCAGAGAGGACCACGUCCAGAGAAACUCUGGACGUGGUCUCAUUCUCAGCCUUUCAUGUUCUGCUUAUUGCCUUGCAACUCUAAUCAUCUGUGCUUCCAGCCCAAGUGUCACCUUCUAAGGCUCAGGGUUUUGGUCUGUAACAUGAAGAGGUCGGAGCAGAUGAAUUCUUAGUGGCCACAGAAUAGUCUAGCUCUAAUAUUUCGAGUCUAUAAUCACGGGAAGGCUAUGGGAGCUUUAGAACUGAUUUUAUGGUUUUGGAUGUUCUGGCAGCUUCAAUCAUUUCAAGAAGGUUAAAGACUCUGGGAUCUGGACAAGUUUCCUUCCGAGCUACCACCCAAACUAUUCUUGAAAAGAGCCUACAGAAUGAUUUUUCUACCAGGGGGCCUCAAGCUGGCCUCCAGAUAUGCAAACAAUGCAAAGGGAGUGUGAAUCAGAGGACAAGAGCUAAUUGGUGCCCCGGAGUCUGAGCCAAGGACCGGCUUGGGUGUGUGACCCUAAGGGGUGUGACUGAACUUGAAGGUUUAGUCACUUCAGCUAUCAAAAGAAUUAUAUCAAGCUUGAUGCGGAGCUGAAUGUGGAGACUAUUAAUACAUAAUCACCAUAAUGAUAACUCUUUCCUGAGUGCUUAGCCUAUGUCAGAGGCCAUGCUAAGUACUCGAUAGGAAUCUAACUCCAUUUUCGCAACACUCUAAGGUACGUAUUAUUAUUCCCAAGACACAGCUGGCAAAACUGAAGUUUAAAGGCGUAGGUAACUUGCCCUAAAUCCCUCGGCUAUUAAGUGAAGGAUCUGGAUCAGAUCUGGGAUUGAAACCCAGGUCUGUCUGACUCUGAGAUCACUGACUAACUACCCGCUACGCUCUCAGAGCUCCAGCGGACUUUGGAAAAACUUGAGUUCAUUAUGUCUGCUUCUGAGGGACUGCUCGGUAGGAUCACAAUGUUCCCGAUUUAAAGACCUUUGGGAUAAACUUUGCAGAUUUUCUGUAUUCAUUACCCCAUCUCUGACCACGCUAAUGUCUCAGCCAGCGCCCCUCCUCCCCUGUCCCCAGAGGUCUCUGGACCAUGUUAAUCUGUCUGGUUUACAAACUCUCUGGCUCCACAUUCUCUAGCUGUUUCCAUCUGCUGUCCUGUCUAAAUUCUCUGGGAGGCCGCAGGAAAGGAAGAUAGCAAGGUGAGCAGAGGGGCCAAAGCAAGCAGAGGGAUAUCAGAGUAUGUGAUACAAAAGCUCUCCAUGCCACCUACGGGAUCUUUCAAAGUUCAAGUACGCUGCCCUUGGUCACCUUGAUCUAGAGUUUAUGAACUUGAGCUUUGGAGUCAGCUAGAGCUGGGUUCUAGGGGUAGUUUGGAAGUUAAGUUACCUCCUCUCUCCGAGCCUCAGCUCUCUAAUGAAGUAGGAAGAAGUCCAUGAGAGGUUGUUUUUUCCACUCCUGGAGGUCAUGCCUCUGCAGUUUUCAGCACAGCACCUGUCGGUCACGUGGUAAAUGCUCCAGACUGGUAGUUGCUAUGGGUGGUAAGCUCUCAUUGGCUGCCAGCUCAGCUCCUUCUCGCGUAUGCCGUGCAGUGCCAAGCGGCUCAUGUCCUUUCUGGGAGGUUCAAAGGCUUGCCUGCCUCUGAAACUCCCCUCUGAUGCUGUUCCCCUUCCCAGUUUGUGAACAGGAACAGGUCCAGUGAGGCACCUGGCUGGCUCAGUUGGUGAAGCGUGUGACUGUUGAUCUCAGGAUCGUGAGUUCCAGCCUCAUGUUUGGUGAAACCAGUCCCAUGGCUUUGAGAAGACGCAUGAUUGACUAAGCACUGUUAUCUAAGCACCAACUGUAUACAGAACACUAAACUGGGCACGGAGGAACCAUCUUCUUAUGGAGUAGAGCAUCUAGUUGGAGAAAUAAGACCAAUGCUCAUGAAAGAAGUAGGCUUUAAGAAUACAAGACUGGGGCGCCUGGGUGGCUCAGUCGGUUAAGGGUUCGACUUCGGCUCAGGUCACGAUCUCGCGGUUUGUGAGUUCGAGCCCCUCGUCGGGCUCUGUGCCAGCAGCUCAGAGCCUGGAGCCUGCUUCGGAUUCUGUGUCUCCCUCU
rnacentral:lncRNA from 1 species